GAUCAUGGCUCAGGAUGAACGCUGGCGGCGUGCUUAACACAUGCAAGUCGAACGAAGCACUUAAAUUUGAUUCUUCGGAUGAAGAUUUUUGUGACUGAGUGGCGGACGGGUGAGUAACGCGUGGGUAACCUGCCUCAUACAGGGGGAUAACAGUUAGGAAUGACUGCUAAUACCGCAUAAGCGCACAGGGUCGCAUGACCUGGUGUGAAAAACUCCGGCGGUAUGAGAUGGACCCGCG
rnacentral:rRNA from 1 species